rnacentral:rRNA from 1 species
UACGUAGGGGCAAGCGUUGUCCGGAAUCAUUGGGCGUAAAGAGCGCGUAGGCGGCCCUGUAAGUCCGCUGUGAAAGUCAAGGGCUCAACCCUUGAAUGCCGGUGGAUACUGCAGGGCUAGAGUCCGGAAGAGGCGAGUGGAAUUCCUGGUGUAGCGGUGAAAUGCGCAGAUAUCAGGAGGAACACCGAUGGCGAAGGCAGCUCGCUGGGACGGUACUGACGCUGAGGCGCGAAAGCGUGGG